GACGAACGCUGGCGGCGUGCUUAACACAUGCCAGUCGAACGGUGAUGCUCCAGCUUGCUGGAGUGGAUCAGUGGCGAACGGGUGAGUAACACGUGAGCAACCUGCCCAGACUCUGGAAUAAGCGCUGGAAACGGCGUCUAAUACUGGAUACGAAACUGGCCCGCAUGGGCAUGGUUUGGAAAGUUUUUCGGUUUGGGAUGGGCUCGCGGCCUAUCAGCUUGUUGGUGAGGUAAUGGCUCACCAAGGCGACGACGGGUAGCCGGCCUGAGAGGGCGACCGGCCACACUGGGACUGAGACACGGCCCAGACUCCUACGGGAGGCAGCAGUGGGGAAUAUUGCACAAUGGGCGAAAGCCUGAUGCAGCGACGCCGCGUGAGGGAUGACGGCCUUCGGGUUGUAAACCUCUUUCAGCAGGGAAGAAGCGAAAGUGACGGUACCUGCAGAAGAAGCACCGGCUAACUACGUG
rnacentral:rRNA from 1 species